GGAAUAUUGCACAAUGGGCGAAAGCCUGAUGCAGCAACGCCGCGUGAGGGAAGACGGUUUUCGGAUUGUAAACCUCUGUCUUUGGUGACGAAUAAAUGACGGUAACCGAGGAGGAAGCCACGGCUAACUACGUGCCAGCAGCCGCGGUAAUACGUAGGUGGCAAGCGUUGUCCGGAUUUACUGGGUGUAAAGGGAGCGUAGGCGGGCGAAUAAGUCAGCUGUGAAAUCCAUAGGCUUAACCUGUGAACUGCAGUUGAAACUGUUUGUCUUGAGUGAAGUAGAGGCAGGCGGAAUUCCGAGUGUAGCGGUGAAAUGCGUAGAUAUUCGGAGGAACACCAGUGGCGAAGGCGGCCUGCUGGGCUUUAACUGACGCUGAGGCUCGAAAGUGUGGGGAGCAAACA
rnacentral:rRNA from 1 species